GAUGAACGCUGGCGGCGUGCCUAAUGCAUGCAAGUCGAGCGAACAGAUAAGGAGCUUGCUCCUUUGACGUUAGCGGCGGACGGGUGAGUAACACGUGGGUAACCUAUCUAUAAGACUGGAAUAACUCCGGGAAACCGGGGCUAAUGCCGGAUAACAUGUUGAACCGCAUGGUUCUACAGUGAAAGGCGGCUUUGCUGUCACUUAUAGAUGGACCCGCGCCGUAUUAGCUAGUUGGUGAGGUAACGGCUCACCAAGGCAACGAUACGUAGCCGACCUGAGAGGGUGAUCGGCCACACUGGAACUGAGACACGGUCCAGACUCCUACGGGAGGCAGCAGUAGGGAAUCUUCCGCAAUGGGCGAAAGCCUGACGGAGAAACGCCGCGUGAGUGAUGAAGGUCUUCGGAUCGUAAAACUCUGUUAUUAGGGAAGAACAAAUGCGUAAGUAACUGUGCGCGUCUUGACGGUACCUAAUCAGAAAGCCACGGCUAACUACGUG
rnacentral:rRNA from 1 species